CAGGCGCGAAACCUUUACACUGUACGCAAGUGCGAUAAGGGGACUCCGAGUGUGAAGGCAUAGAGCCUUCACUUUUGUACACCGUAAGGUGGUGUACGAAUAAGGGCUGGGCAAGACCGGUGCCAGCCGCCGCGGUAAUACCGGCAGCCCGAGUGAUGGCCGAUAUUAUUGGGCCUAAAGCGUCCGUAGCUGGCCGGACAAGUCCGUUGGGAAAUCUGUUCGCUUAACGAGCAGGCGUCCAGCGGAAACUGUUCGGCUUGGGACCGGAAGACCUGAGGGGUACGUCCGGGGUAGGAGUGAAAUCCUGUAAUCCUGGACGGACCACCGGUGGCGAAAGCGCCUCAGGAGGACGGAUCCGACAGUGAGGGACGAAAGCUAGGGUCUCGAACCGGAUUAGAUACC
rnacentral:rRNA from 1 species